rnacentral:siRNA from 1 species
CUGCAAAUUCCUGGAGUUCGCAA